UAAUGCAGUCGAGCGGACGGAUGGGAGCUUGCUCCCUGAAGUCAGCGGCGGACGGGUGAGUAACACGUGGGCAACCUGCCUGUAAGACUGGGAUAACUUCGGGAAACCGGAGCUAAUACCGGAUAAUGCAUAACCUCUCAUGAGGUUAUGCUGAAAGAUGGUUUCGGCUAUCACUUACAGAUGGGCCCGCGGCGCAUUAGCUAGUUGGUGAGGUAACGGCUCACCAAGGCAACGAUGCGUAGCCGACCUGAGAGGGUGAUCGGCCACACUGGGACUGAGACACGGCCCAGACUCCUACGGGAGGCAGCAGUAGGGAAUCUUCCGCAAUGGACGAAAGUCUGACGGAGCAACGCCGCGUGAGUGAUGAAGGUUUUCGGAUCGUAAAACUCUGUUGUUAGGGAAGAACAAGUGCCGGAGUAACUGCCGGCACCUUGACGGUACCUAACCAGAAAGCCACGGCUAACUACGUGCCAGCAGCCGCGGUAAUACGUAGGUGGCAAGCGUUGUCCGGAAUUAUUGGGCGUAAAGCGCGCGCAGGCGGUCUCUUAAGUCUGAUGUGAAAGCCCACGGCUCAACCGUGGAGGGUCAUUGGAAACUGGGGGACUUGAGUGCAGAAGAGGAAAGUGGAAUUCCACGUGUAGCGGUGAAAUGCGUAGAGAUGUGGAGGAACACCAGUGGCGAAGGCGACUUUCUGGUCUGUAACUGACGCUGAGGCGCGAAAGCGUGGGGAGCAAACAGGAUUAGAUACCCUGGUAGUCCACGCCGUAAACGAUGAGUGCUAAGUGUUAGAGGGUUUCCGCCCUUUAGUGCUGCAGCAAACGCAUUAAGCACUCCGCCUGGGGAGUACGGCCGCAAGGCUGAAACUCAAAGGAAUUGACGGG
rnacentral:rRNA from 1 species